AGAAAAGUAAGCUAAAUUUAAGCUAAUGGGUUCAUACCCCAAAUAUAGAGAAUACUCUCUUUUCUA
rnacentral:tRNA from 1 species